UGCCAGCAGCCGCGGUAACACGGGGGGCGCACGCGUUAUUCGGAAUUAUUGGGCGUAAAGGGCGCGUAGGCGGUCUUGUCGGUCGGAUGUGAAAGCCCGGGGCUCAACCCCGGAAGUGCAUUCGAAACUGCCUCGCUUGAGUCUUGGAGAGGGUGGUGGAAUUCCUGGUGUAGAGGUGAAAUUCGUAGAUAUCAGGAGGAACACCGGUGGCGAAGGCGACCACCUGGACAAUGACUGACGCUGAGGUGCGAAAGCGUGGGGAGCAAACAGGAUUAGAUA
rnacentral:rRNA from 1 species